AUAUUGUAACAGUUACAGCGUAAUAAUUACGAGAACCGGUUUUAGUUACUUUGUUCCUCUUCCAAAGCUGACUAAAGAACUGUACAGUCUUUUUCUGUAAAAUGCGUGAUGUACAUUCAGCUGAAAAUGUAGAGCCUGUUGAUGGUAUUCGUCUGUUGGUGAACAUACAAGAAAUUCGUAUGUUCCAAGACGUUACUUAUGGGGACGUGUUUAUAUUUGAUGGUAAAAUUGUACCUCUAUGGUGAUGAUUUAUAAGGCGUUGAUUGUUGUUUAUAAGAUACACUUUUGUGAAAAUUCGGAUGUUCUAAUGGAAAAAAUCGGAAAAGAAAUUCUGCCAGUGGAUUGUGGAGGCAAAGAAAAAUCUCUAGAAGAACUCCAAGAAAUGCUUUAUCAGAAAUUUGAAGAACAUAAAGAUUAUUUUACCCAGCUGGAUAAACUUCGUAUAAAUGAAGAUUUGAGACCUCGACGGCUUAAAAGUGAUGAAAUGUUUGGACUUUCUGGCAAUUUUAAGAAAUUAGAAAUUGACUGAGAUUUUUUACUUUUUUAUAUAUAAUUUUUCAUGAUAUAGUUCAUACACUUUAGUUCCUUAAUAUAGCUAUAUAUUAUCGGACAGAACGCGAAAUUUGUCAAUAAAAAAUCUAGAAAACUGUAGUAAUAAACAGCGUCACUAAAUUAUUGCAAAUUUUAUGUAGAAAAUGGCUCCCAAUUAUCACUGGAAACAGAUCUGUAUUUCCAACUGGUCAGAGAAUUUUAAGACAAGACCUUAGUCUAUACCCGCAUAGAACUCAAAUUUAGUCACCUGACGUCACGUCUUUGGAUUAUAACCUCUUCCUUUACGAGCACGAAGUUCUCUACUUGGAUGGGCCGCUGUAUUAAUUUAUUGAAGAACUAAUAAUCAAAGUUAAAAACCAAUGCAACAGUGUAAAAUAUCUGCAUAUUUUUGGUAACACGAAGAGACGGAAUGCAGUGUACCUGUAAAUCAUCAUCACCAUCGACUAUUACUUUCAGUAACUGUUUUGGAAAAAUAAUUGUUAUUGUUUGUUUCAUUUUCCGUUAUUAUUUAUUAAAUAAAGAUUAGGUAUCAACAA